rnacentral:rRNA from 1 species
ACUCCUACGGGAGGCAGCAGUGGGGAAUAUUGCACAAUGGGCGCAAGCCUGAUGCAGCCAUGCCGCGUGUGUGAAGAAGGCCUUCGGGUUGUAAAGCACUUUCAGUAGGGAGGAAGGUGGUAGUGUUAAUAGCGCUAUCAUUUGACUGUUACCUACAGAAGAAGCACCGGCUAACUCCGUGCCAGCAGCCGCGGUAAUACGGAGGGUGCGAGCGUUAAUCGGAAUUACUGGGCGUAAAGCGCAUGCAGGUGGUUUGUUAAGUCAGAUGUGAAAGCCCCGGGCUCAACC